CCUACGGGCGGCAGCAGUGAGGAAUAUUGGUCAAUGGACGAGAGUCUGAACCAGCCAAGUAGUGUGAAGGAUGACUGCCCUAUGGGUUGUAAACUUCUUUUAUAUGGGAAUAAAAUGUUCCACGUGUGGGAUUUUGUAUGUAGCAUAUGAAUAAGGAUCGGCUAACUCCGUGCCAGCAGCCGCGGUAAUACGGAGGAUCCGAGCGUUAUCCGGAUUUAUUGGGUUUAAAGGGAGCGUAGGUGGAUUGUUAAGUCAGUUGUGAAAGUUUGCGGCUCAACCGUAAAAUUGCAGUUGAAACUGGCAGUCUUGAGUACAGUAGAGGUGGGUGGAAUUCGUGGUGUAGCGGUGAAAUGCUUAGAUAUCACGAAGAACUCCGAUUGCGAAGGCAGUUCACUGGACGGCAACUGACACUGAGGCUCGAAAGUGUGGGUAUCAAACAGGAUUAGAUACCCGUGUAGUC
rnacentral:rRNA from 1 species